rnacentral:rRNA from 1 species
CAGCCGCCGCGGGAAUACGAAGGGGGCUAGCGUUGUUCAGAUUUACUGGGCGUAAAGCGCACGUAGGCGGAUCGAUCAGUCAGGGGUGAAAUCCUGGAGCUCAACUCCAGAACUGCCUUUGAUACUGUCGAUCUCGAGUCCGGAAGAGGUGAGUGGAACUCCUAGUGUAGAGGUGGAAUUCGUAGAUAUUAGGAAGAACACCAGUGGCGAAGGCGGCUCACUGGUCCGGUACUGACGCUCAUGCACGAAAGCGUGGGGAGCAAACAGGAUUAGAUACCCCUGUAGUCCCUGUCUCUUAUAC